CCCUGGUGAAUGUCGGCAAUAACUAUAAUUGUCCUAAGGUAGCGAAAUACCUUGUCGGGUAGGAAACUGCCCAUCCCGAUGGCGACAUUGGGAUUAAAUCCGGCUUAUAACGGUGGAAUCCUUUUGCACAUAAUGCGCAAAGUAAAAGGACAAUACCGUGGGAAGUCCCAGUUUGAUUUAUCAAAUUUGGACCCCGUAACGACUUAAGUCGCCUAUGUAUAGUGGCGACUUGGAUAGAUUAUUGAUAUAAUCUAUAACAUGCCGGCUCUCAAGAAAAAACGCAAUAUACAUGAAUAUAUUUCCGGAUAUGUAGAUGGAGAAGGGUGCUUUAGUGUUUCAUUUUCAAAACGAGAUAAAUUUAUCGUCGGCUGGGAAACUAAACCAAGUUUUUCAGUUAGCCAAAAUGAAGAUAGAGCACAAACACUUUUCCUAAUACAAAAGAUAUUGAAAUGCGGAUUUAUGCGAAGAGAUUUUUCAGAUAAAACUUUGAAAUACGAAGUUAGAAGUCUGGAAGAUCUAAUCAAAAAAGUAAUUCCUCAUUUUGAAAAGUUUCCAAUGGUUUCAAAUAAGCAAAAAGAUUUCAAAUUAUUCAAGCAAGUUUGUUUCUUGAUGCAAAGAAAUAUGCACAGGAAAAAAAACGGAUUGAAUAAAAUAAUGAGUCUUGCGUUUAAAAUGAAUCCAGGGGGAAAAAGAAAAUAUACGAAAGCAGAAAUGCAAAAAGCGUUGAGAUGAAGAUAUAGUCUGAUACUCCUUGUAAAAGGAGAUAACACAGUGAAGUUCCGACGCGCAUGAAUGGCGUAACGACCAGAGAACUGUCUCGGGGACUCGCUCGGUGAAAAUACAAUACCGGUGAAGAUGCCGGUUACCCACAGUUAGACGAAAAGACCCCGUGAAGCUUUACUACAACUUGAUAUUGAGCGUGUUUUUUUGUUGCGUAGAAUAGAUGGGAGACUUUGAAGUUUCGAUUCCGGUCGGAAUGGAGUCAUCAGUGCAAUACCAUCCUUUAGAGAGGCACGUUCUAACCAGUACGGCAAAAACGGACUGGAACAGUAUCUGGUGGGUAGUUUGUUUGGGGCGAAUCCCUCCUAAAAAGUAACGGAGGGGUCUACCAAGGUUCCCUAGGCGCGAAUGGAAACCGUGCCGAUAGCGUAAUGGCAUAAGGGAGCUUAACUGCGAGGCGUACAUGCCGAGCAGAUGCGAAAGCAGAGCAUAGUGAACCGACCACUCGCAUUAGACGCGGUGGAAGAUUAUCGGACAAAAGCUACUCCGGGGAUAACAGGCUAGUUCCGCCCAAGAGUUCAAAUCGACGGCGGAGUUCGGCACCUCGAUGUCGGCUCAACAUAUCCUGGCGGUGGAGAAGCUGCCAAGGGUUUGGCUGUUCGCCAAUUAAAAUGUUACGCGAGCUGGGUUCAAACCGUUCAGGAGGCAAAAAAUUGUCUUUUGAACAGUUUGAACCUAAGAGGCAAAGAACUGUUAUAAAACUGAAAUUAACCAAGUGUAUUAAAUUACACACACGGCGGCUAUAUGCAGAAAUGUAUAUAGACAAAUCGACUUAUAUCGGAAAAAUCCCAAGUGGACAAUUCCGAGGGAAAAAUGUUUUGUGAGUUUCAUAGAGGAAAAAUUGUUCUUUACUUCGUCCUUUCGUCUAGUGGUUAGGACGUGUCUAUGCUUGAAUAAAGCUAGAUGAAACACUGGUUCGAUUCCAGUAGGGAUGACGAAAUUACUUUUUAGUAAUUUAUUAAAUUUUUUUGGGGAAAUUAAUUUUUCCCCUCUUCUAUGAAAUUCAUAAAAUAACUGCCCGUAGAGACUAAACGUCGAUAUUCUUGAAAAAGAAUGUGUUAUAGUCCGAUCCCUUCAGUAAUGAAGGUUCAGCGUUUGUAGAACGCGGAAGUAAAACCAAAUGCGUGAGACAGGUUAGUCUCCUAUCUACUGUGGGCGUUGAUUCUUGAGGGGAGUUGCUUCUAGUACGAGAGGACCGAAGCGAACUGACCUCUGGUGUAUCUGUUGUCCCGCCCGGGGCAUUGCAGAGUAGCUAUGUCGGGAAUGGAUAACCUCUGAAAGCAUCUAAGAGGGAAGCCAGCCCUAAGAUUAGGAAUCGUUUGAGGGACCUGGGAGAUGACCAGGUUGAUAGGCGCUAGGUGUAAGUCCUGUGAAGGAUUGAGCCGAGGCGUACUAAUAUCCCGAUUC
rnacentral:rRNA from 1 species